rnacentral:misc_RNA from 1 species
GGAAGUAAGAGUCGUAACAAGGUCUCCGUUGGUGAACCAGCGGAGGGAUCAUUACCGAGUGCAAACUCAUAACCCUUUGUGAACCUAUAUCUGUUGCUUCGGCGGCUCGCUCUCGGGCGAGCCCGCCGGUAAUAUCAGUAUCUCUGUUUGAACCCGACGAUACUUCUGAGUGUUCUUAGCGAACAGUUAAAACUUUUAACAACGGAUCUCUUGGCUCUA